UGCUGUCCUUACAGACACUGUGGUGUGUGGUGUGCUGCUCUUUCUGUGCUGCCUGUCUCUUCCGCUGUUGCCUUGACAAUUUGACUGAAACCCCCCUGUUGCUAAGUUCUGUCCACACAAAUGGGUGAACUGAAAUGGCCACAUCUUCACUAAUUUUGCAUUUGUACUGUGAACUGGAGAAGAGGAAUGGUAGUUAAUGGGGCAAAAAUGAGAUCGCUAAUUAAUCAGUCAGAGGAACUGUCUGUGUUUGGGAGGGGGACUCUAUAGUUUGAGUUCACAUCAGCUUUGAGACCACUUCUGACCAUAGCUGUUUUAGCUGUGCCUACAUUUGACCUGCUCCCAUGCACAAUCCAGGGAGGGAUCACUAUGGACGUGUGGUAGUGAGCCAGGCUACAUCAUAGCAAAUAGAACACCCAGAUAGAUUUCUUCCAUGCUUCUUUGGAAUAAGACAAAGUUAUAAGAGGCUUCCUUUACACAUAUAAGGUCUAAUGCUCCAUUCUUGGAUUCCCAGUAAAAGAAAUCUCAGGUAAGGCCUUAAUUAGAAUUCCUGGAAAACUGGCAACUGAACAGUACUGGAACAAAUAGAUGAAUGGUCUGAACACAUAAAACGGUUCCUUUCACGUUGUUGAGACUUAAAACAAAUAUUAUUCACACCUCAUUCAAUGUCAUAAUUUGAAGGAAGAUUUAAACAUGACUAAUGUGCAGUAGGAGCUGCAGUUGGGCACUCCAAGAGUUGUUCUCUUGAUAAAAUGGUAAAUUGGUUGGUUACACAGCUUUUUUACAUCUUUCUCCAUAGUUUCCAACAGCUGGCCUUAUGGUUGUCAGCAUGACCAAGGCUGUGAGGCCUCAUGGGACUCUAGGGGCAGAAAUGCUAGCUGCAAACCCAAGUCUGAGCACAUUAGAAGAGCCUAUCAUAGCAUCGUAGGAUAGAGUUCUAAUUCAUUAAGUGCAGUUGAAGUGACAGAAAAUGGUACCUUGGUGGGUUUUUAUUAAAAAAAGCAUAGAAUGCUUUGCAGUUUAAAGGGACAUAUAUUGCUAGAAGUCCAGAUUUACUCAGUCAGUGCCAUUUCUCACUGACUGAGUAAGCUGCAUUCUGCAGAUUAAUGUAAGCUGAUGAAACUCACGUUGGAAAAGCAAGAGCCAAACAGGAUGUCAGCAAUGCAGUUCAUAUGUUACAUUUAGUAUGGAACUCUCCAAAAUGGGGUGGGGAGUAGAGUAGCUGUGAUUCAAUAGUAGAGUAUAUGGUCUGCAUGUAGAAGAUUCCAUGUCUAGUCCUUGGAAUGUCCUGGAAAAGCCUCCAAUGUCAGAAAAUCUUAGGAAAAUCUUGCUUGCAAUCCCAGAGAGCUGCUGGUAGACUCAAUGGAAGCAACUUCUUAGCAGUGCCCAGGCAGUAUAUCAGAUCUGUGCCAUGCUUGGUCCUUU